AUCAGCUGUUGACAACUCUAAUCAGAAUGCCGCCAAGAAUGUAGCCCAUUUUGGAAUGCAAUUUUUUUCCAUUCUCCGGCUCGAGUCUAGAGUCACCUCUUCCAAGGUCCUGAGACUCAGGGACGGUCAUGGGAUCCGUCAAAGUCGAUAUCAUUUCAAUAUCAAUCUGGAUCGAUCUCACAUAUAUAUGCUCCCGACUCCCGAGAGCCGAGAUCGCAUAUUCCCUUCUUGCUUCAUUCUCUUCGUCCGUUGGAGGGGACGCUAGGCUAGGGCACACAACUACCAGUGUCGGAGGAGGAAACGGAUCCGAUAUUCUGCAAUGGAGAGUUCAACUAACAGAACAGAGGGUGAGAAGGGUCAAGACGAGCGAGAGAGAUAGAAGAGAUGGAUUUUCUGCAUUGAAGAGUUCUUCCUCCGUUUCAAAACAUCCACGAAGACUGCAGCAGCUUUCGGAAAAAUGAGAUAGCGCUGGGAGUCCUUGACCACAGAGGCGGGAAGGUGGUCUUUUCAUGCGGUCCUGCAUCUGGAAGUAGGAUUCCGGUUUCAUCAUUUUUUACCAUUAACUUAGCUUUAGCAUGGCCUCUAUGUAUACGAUACUGCUUUCCUAUACCAAGAUGAACCAUUAAAAAACAGACGACGGUGAGAAGCUCUCCCCCGCCAGCACUAAGUCUCUGAGCAUGGUACUUGUUUCAACAAUGCUUUUGCAACUCUGGAUGCCUCGAAUAAUACAGAUUUACAUCGGUCACCUUUCACAUUUAGGAGUGAAAUAUCUGUGUUCACCUCAUGCAGCCUUUUGCAGGCUUGUUCCUCAGUUUCUCUCCCCCCUCCUUGGCGGAGAAACCUUUGGGCCUCAGCACAGGAAAGAGUGAUAAGACCCUGCAGACCCAGGAACGGCCGCUUUUUGCAACUCCUCGAAGAUGUAUAUUUUAAGCUCCUCAGAGAUUUCCUUUUUAGUUCUGUACCAGUGUGUAUCAAAAAGGUCCUUCACAUGAAUGCUCUCCAUGAUUUUUCCCAAGAAGAAUGGUUGAUGAUCUUUGAUGCAAAAAUUGAUCAGGUUGUACUGAGACAUG